rnacentral:rRNA from 1 species
UACAGAGGGGGCAAGCGUUGUUCGGAAUUACUGGGCGUAAAGGGCGCGUAGGUGGCCUUCUAAGUUGAACGUGAAAUCCCUGGGCUCAACCCAGGAACUGCGUCCAAGACUGGGAGGCUUGAAUCCGGGAGAGGGAUGCGGAAUUCCAGGUGUAGCGGUGAAAUGCGUAGAUAUUCGCAAGAACACCAGUGGCGAAGGCGGCUCACUGGCCCGGUACUGACGCUGAGGUGCGAAAGCGUGGGGAGCAAACAGG